AACGUGCGGGCUCUCUCAUUCUCAAACCCCAGGUUGACCCACUUCUCUCUCCCAUUGGACCCCCGCAUCUCCAACCAUUGGUCCAAGGUACCUGUCCGUUUCCUGGGAGAGUUCAACACCGCCCGGCCGGAAGAGGCUGCGGCCUCAUUGGGCGCCUGAGGAAGGAUGGGCGGAUACUCAAAGGUUACAGAAUGGAGCCCUGCGUGGGCCAGUGGGAGCCCCAGAGGGCGGCCUGUCAGGCCAGUGGAAUGUCAGGGAAAUGAUCUUGUGCUUCCUGUUGGACUAAAGGUGGCUCGAUCCCGAUUUGAAGACUUCCCUUCUUUGCUUCUUUGGAUUGUGUUGAUGCCCAGAUCAAUGCUCAUGGAUGAAUGAAGAAAAGAGAAGGAAAGUAGAAGAAAGAGGAAAGUUGCCUCAGGUUCCCCACCCAAGCCUACAGCCCAAGCCUCCAUCCUAUUUUUAAGACCCUUUAAUGAGCCUAUAUUUAUCAUGAGGUUUUUUUUGUUUUUUUUUUAAUGGAAAUCUACACAAGUCAUUUGGCUGAAGGCUGGAGCUUAUUUCGGGAAAGCAACUCUUUCAUUUCUCCAAAGCCCCUGUUAGCUCCUCCCGCACCUGUUCUCUCUUCUGUCAAGCCACCUAUCGCUAAUUUCCAGAGCAAAAAGAACCAGGAUCCAGAUUCCAAAGCAGGCUGUAAGUGAUGCUUAGAGAAACAGGUGUGCGAUUUUUGUCAUAAAUUGUCUUAAUAUAAUCUUGCCAGUCAACACAGAUGCCUCAUGAAAAUGCAUUUCUUAUCUCACAAAGGUUGCCUCCCAAAGUAAGACUCAUAGAAUCCCCCCAAAUAAACCAUUAAU